UAUCAUCUGUUUCUUAAAUAUUUAUUGAAUUUGACUUUUAAGUGAAAAGGCUUAAAUAAAACAAAAAGACGAUAAGACCCUAUAAAUCUUUACAAUAAAUAUAUUUUAUAUUUUAGCUUAUAAGUGUAUAAGAAAUAAAAAUAUAGGUUUGUUGCGCUGGGGCGGCGUAGAUAUAUAAAUAAACUGUCUAUAAUUUAAAUACAAUAAUUAUUGCUUAAUACAAAUUGAUCCUUAAAUAGAUUAAAAGAUUAAGAUACUUUAGGGAUAACAGCGUUAUUUUUUUUGAGAGUUCUUAUCGAAGAAAAAGUUUGCGACCUCGAUGUUGAAUUAAAGUGUCUCUGUGGUGUAGCCGCUAUAAGAGAGAGUCUGUUCGACUUUUAAUGCUUUA
rnacentral:rRNA from 1 species